CAACUCUACGUUCUCACCAUAGUCAAUAUAGCAUCACUUUGCUGAAGAGGACUGGUGCCUGGAACAAAAUAUACCCCAUUAAACAAACAUACAUUCAU